UCACUUUGUUGCCCAGGCUGGAGUGCAGUGGCACCAUCUAGGCUUACUGCAACCUCCGCCUCCCAGGUUCAAGCAAUUCUCCUGCCUCAGCCACCCGAGUAGCUGGGAUUACAGGCGUGCACCACCACAUCCUGCUAAUUUUUGUAUUUUUAGUAGAGAUGGGGUUUCUCCAUGUUGGCCAGGCUGGUCUUGAACUCCUGGCCUCAAGUGAUCCACCCACCUUGGCAGCCCAGAGUGCUGGGAUUACAGGCGUGAGCCACUGGGCGCAGCCCCUCUCUGGAAUCUCUAACCCCACAAAGGCGGAAAUUGCAGAGAGAAUGAGCACAGGCUGCUUCCCCACCAAUGGCUAAGCAGGUCCUGCCAGCUCAUGUCUCCUGCCAGCUCAUGUCUCCUGCCAGCUCAUGUCUCCUGCCAUGGGGGUCCUGAGGACAUGCGUGGCAAGCCCCUUGACAGUUGGGAGGAUGGGGUUUCACCAAAUAAAGCAAUGGAAGGUCACCGUCAGUCAGUGACAAGUGGCUAUUCCUAUGGCAGACUGAAGAUACAGGGAGCCCGCACACC
rnacentral:lncRNA from 10 species